rnacentral:lncRNA from 1 species
AUAGCCCAAGGCAUACCCAUCUGUAUCAUCAUAGAUAACGUGUCCAGGAGAGACAGCACAAGGGGCUCCAUCUUCAUCACACAACUCAUCACAUGCUUCCAGAGAUAUUCCUGGCGCUGCCACCUAGAGGAAGUAUUUUGGAAGGUUCAGCAAGCAUUUGAAAGUCCGGAGGCAACAGUCCAAAUGCCCACCAUAGAACGAGUGUCCAUGACAAGAUAUUUCUACCUCUUUCCUGGCAACUGAAAAUGGUUAAGCAUUGAGAGUUGUUGGUGGUGUAUGAAAUAAAUGAAAGUGUGAUAUUGGAGGAAACCACAAGCAGCCCAGCCCUCCUUUAUCAACUUCAAG